AACGAACGCUGGCGGCAGGCUUAACACAUGCAAGUCGAGCGCCCCGCAAGGGGAGCGGCAGACGGGUGAGUAACGCGUGGGAAUCUACCCAUCUCUACGGAAUAACGCAUGGAAACGUGUGCUAAUACCGUAUACGUCCUUCGGGAGAAAGAUUUAUCGGAGAUGGAUGAGCCCGCGUUGGAUUAGCUAGUUGGUGGGGUAAAGGCCUACCAAGGCGACGAUCCAUAGCUGGUCUGAGUGGAUGAUCAGCCACACUGGGACUGAGACACGGCCCAGACUCCUACGGGAGGCAGCAGUGGGGAAUAUUGGACAAUGGGCGCAAGCCUGAUCCAGCCAUGCCGCGUGAGUGAUGAAGGCCCUAGGGUUGUAAAGCUCUUUCACCGGUGAAGAUAAUGACGGUAACCAGAGAAGAAGCCCUGGCUAACUUCGUGCCAGCCGCCGCCGUAAUAC
rnacentral:rRNA from 1 species